rnacentral:rRNA from 1 species
ACGGAAGGCAGCAGUGGGGAAUAUUGCACAAUGGGGGAAACCCUGAUGCAGCGACGCCGCGUGAAGGAAGAAGUAUCUCGGUAUGUAAACUUCUAUCAGCAGGGAAGAAAAUGACGGUACCUGACUAAGAAGCCCCGGCUAACUACGUGCCAGCAGCCGCGGUAAUACGUAGGGGGCAAGCGUUAUCCGGAUUUACUGGGUGUAAAGGGAGCGUAGACGGAAUUGCAAGUCUGAUGUGAAAGGCAUGGGCUCAACCUGUGGACUGCAUUGGAAACUGUGAUUCUUGAGUGCCGGAGGGGUAAGCGGAAUUCCUGGUGUAGCGGUGAAAUGCGUAGAUAUCAGGAGGAACACCGGUGGCGAAGGCGGCUUACUGGACAGCAACUGACGUUGAGGCUCGAAGGCGUGGGGAGCAAACAGGAUUAGAUACCCUGGUA